CAGCCGCCGCGGUAAUACCGGCGGCCCGAGUGGCGGCCACUCUUAUUGGGCCUAAAGCGUCCGUAGCCGGGCUGGUAAGUCCCCCGGGAAAUCUGGCGGCUUAACCGUCAGAAUUCCGGGGGAUACUGCCAGCCUAGGGACCGGGAGAGGCCGGGGGUAUUCCCGGGGUAGGGGUGAAAUCCUGUAAUCCCGGGAGGACCACCUGUGGCGAAGGCGCUCGGCUGGAACGGGUCCGACGGUGAGGGACGAAGGCCAGGGGAGCGAACCGGAUUAGAUACCCGGGUAGUCCUGGCUGUAAACGAUGCGGACUAGGUGUCGGGCAAGCUAAGGGCUUGUCCGGUGCCGCAGGGAAGCCGUUAAGUCCGCCGCCUGGGGAGUACGGCCGCAAGGUUGAAACUUAAAGGAAUUGGCGGG
rnacentral:rRNA from 1 species